rnacentral:rRNA from 1 species
AAGGGUGAGUAAGGCGACGGUAACCAACCCUAAGAUUGGGUAUAGCCGCGGGAAACCGCGGGUAAUCCCCAGCGACGCAACGACACCGGCAUCGGUGUUUUGCCAAAGCUUCGGCGUCUUGGGACGGGCUGUCGUGGUAUUAGCUUGUUGGCGGGGUAAUGGCCCACCAAGGCUGCGAUGCCUACCGGGCGUGCGAGCGUGGCCCGGCACACUGGGACUGAGACACUGCCCAGACUCCUACGGGAGGCUGCAGUCGAGAAUCUUCGGCAAUGGGCGCAAGCCUGACCGAGCGACGCCGCGUGGAGGAUGAAGGCCUUCGGGUUGUAAACUCCUGUCGAGGGGGAAAAAGGGUUGAAAGACCUUGAUUGAUCCCUGGAGGAAGCACGGGCUAAGUUCGUGCCAGCAGCCGCGGUAAGACGAACCGUGCGAACGUUAUUCGGAAUCAUUGGGCUUAAAGCGCGUGUAGGCGGAUUCGUGCGUCUGUCGUUGAAAUCCCCCGGCUCAACCGGGGAAGUGGCGCGGAUACGACGAGUCUGGAGGGGCAUAGGGGGACCUGGAACUUCCGGUGGAGCGGUGAAAUGCGUUGA